GCGUCCGUAGCUCAACUGGAUAGAGCAUCGGCCUUCGGAGCCGAGGGUUGGGGGUUCGAAUCCCUCCGGACGCG
rnacentral:tRNA from 1 species